rnacentral:rRNA from 1 species
GCUGGGCCAUUACUGACGCUCAUGGACGAAAGCCAGGGGAGCGAAAGGGAUUAGAUACCCCUGUAGUCCUGGCCGUAAACGAUGAACACUAGGUGUCGGGGGAAUCGACCCCUUCGGUGUCGUAGCUAACGCGUUAAGUGUUCCACCUGGGGAGUACGCACGCAAGUGUGAAACUCAAAGGAAUCGACGGGGGCCCGCACAAGCGGUGGAGUAUGUGGUUUAAUUCGAUGCAACGCGAAGAACCUUACCAGGGUUUGACAUCCUGCGAACCUCUUAGAAAUUUGAGGGUGCCUUCGGGAAUGCAGUGACAGGUGGUGCAUGGCUGUCGUCAGCUCGUGUCGUGAGAUGUUGGGUUAAGUCCCGCAACGAGCGCAACCCACGUUUUUAGUUGCCAGCAUUUAGUUGGGCACUCUAGAAAGACCGCCGGUGAUAAACCGGAGGAAGGUGUGGAUGACGUCAAGUCAUCAUGCCCCUUACACCCUGGGCUACACACGUACUACAAUGCUACGGACAAAGGGCAGCAAACUCGCGAGAGCUAGCAAAUCCCAUAAACCGUGGCUCAGUUCAGAUCGUAGGCUGCAACUCGCCUACGUGAAGUAGGAAUCGCUAGUAAUCGCAGGUCGGCAUACAGCGGUGAAUACGUUCCCGGGCCUUGUACACACCGCCCGUCACACCAUGGAAGUUGACCAUGCCCGAAGUCGUUACUCCAACCCUUGUGGAGGAGGACGCCGAAGGUGGGGCUAAUGACUGGGGUGAAGUCGUAACAAGGUAACC